CUGUUUGAGCGUCAUUUCAACCCUCAAGCCUAGCUUGGUAUUGGGUGUUACCGGGCAAUGGUACACCUUAAAAUCAGUGGCGGUGCAUCUGGCUCUAAGCGUAGUAAUUUAUCUCGCUAUUGGGUCCGGUGGUUGCUUGCCAAUAACCCCCAACUUCUAAGGUUGACCUCGGAUCAGGUAGGGAUACCCGCUGAACUUAA
rnacentral:misc_RNA from 1 species